UACGAACCGUGCGAACGUUGUUCGGAAUCACUGGGCUUAAAGGGCGCGUAGGCGGGCUGCCAAGUCUGGGGUGAAAUCCUCCGGCUCAACCGGAGAACGGCCUCGGAUACUGGCGGUCUCGAGGGAGGUAGGGGCGUGCGGAACUAAGGGUGGAGCGGUGAAAUGCGUUGAUAUCCUUAGGAACUCCGGUGGCGAAGGCGGCACGCUGGACCUCUUCUGACGCUGAGGCGCGAAAGCCAGGGGAGCAAACGGG
rnacentral:rRNA from 1 species